rnacentral:rRNA from 1 species
UACGGAGGGUGCAAGCGUUGUCCGGAUUUAUUGGGUUUAAAGGGUGCGUAGGUGGUUUCGUAAGUCUGGUCUGAAAGUCAGCGGCUCAACCGUUGAGGGCGGCUGGAUACUGCGGGACUUGAAGGGGCUGGAGGCUGCCGGAACGGGUCAUGUAGCGGUGAAAUGCAUAGAGAUGACCCAGAACUCCGAUUGCGUAGGCAGGCGGCUACGGUUCACUUGACACUGAGGCACGAGAGCAUGGGGAGCAAACAGG